rnacentral:rRNA from 1 species
AGAGUUUGAUCCUGGCUCAGAACGAACGCUGGCGGCAGGCCUAACACAUGCAAGUCGAGCGAGACCUUCGGGUCUAGCGGCGGACGGGUUAGUAACGCGUGGGAACGUACCCUUUUCUGCAGGAUAGCCACUGGAAACGGUGAGUAAUACUGCAUACGCCCUUUGGGGGAAAGAUUUAUCGGAGAAGGAUCGGCCCGCGUUAGAUUAGAUAGUUGGUGGGGUAAUGGCCUACCAAGUCUACGAUCUAUAGCUGGUUUGAGAGGAUGAUCAGCAACACUGGGACUGAGACACGGCCCAGACUCCUACGGGAGGCAGCAGUGGGGAAUCUUAGACAAUGGGCGCAGGCCUGAUCUAGCCAUGCCGCGUGAGUGAUGAAGGCCUUAGGGUCGUAAAGCUCUUUCGCCUGUGAAGAUAAUGACUGUAGCAGGUAAAGAAACCCCGGCUAACUCCGUGCCAGCAGCCGCGGUAAUACGGAGGGGGUUAGCGUUGUUCGGAAUUACUGGGCGUAAAGCGCGCGUAGGCGGACAUUUAAGUCAGAGGUGAAAUCCCAGGGCUCAACCCUGGAACUGCCUUUGAUACUGGGUGUCUUGAGUUCGAGAGAGGUGAGUGGAAUUCCGAGUGUAGAGGUGAAAUUCGUAGAUAUUCGGAGGAACACCAGUGGCGAAGGCGGCUCACUGGCUCGAUACUGACGCUGAGGUGCGAAAGUGUGGGGAGCAAACAGGAUUAGAUACCCUGGUAGU